GCAUGUUUGAGUCACGUUCGUGGAAUGAUUUGUCUGGUUAAUUCCGAUAACGAACGUGACUCAAACAUGCUAACUAGAACGCUGUCAGCAGUGCGCCUCCGGGCGCACCUGACGUUACAGCCGGGCGGCGCCUUCACGGGCGGUCGUCGGCUACGUUUGCCCUGCUUAGCGGGACAACUUGUGUUUAGCAAGCUGAGAAUGAGCGAUAACAGGUCCGUGAU
rnacentral:rRNA from 1 species